rnacentral:rRNA from 1 species
UACGAAGGGGGCUAGCGUUGCUCGGAAUCACUGGGCGUAAAGCGCACGUAGGCGGAUCCUUAAGUCGGGGGUGAAAUCCUGGAGCUCAACUCCAGAACUGCCUUCGAUACUGAGGAUCUCGAGUCCGGGAGAGGUGAGUGGAACUGCGAGUGUAGAGGUGAAAUUCGUAGAUAUUCGCAAGAACACCAGUGGCGAAGGCGGCUCACUGGCCCGGUACUGACGCUGAGGUGCGAAAGCGUGGGAGCAAACAGGG